UAGUUAUGUUCUUGAAACUUAAAAAAUUUGGCGGUAUUUUAGUCUAUUCAGAGGAACCUGUUCUGUAAUCGAUAAUCCACGAUGGACCUUACUUAAAUUUGUACUCAGUUUAUAUACCGUCGUUAUUAGAAUAUUUUAUAAGAAUGUUAAUUUUCAUAAUUUUUAAAAAGAAAAUAUAUCAGAUCAAGGUGUAGCUUAUAUUUAAGUAGAAAUGGGUUACAAUAAAAUUAUUUAUACGAAUAAAAAUAUGAAAAAUUUAUUGAAGGUGGAUUUGAUAGUAAAAUUAUAAAGAUUAAUAAUUUGAUUUUAGCUCUAAAAUAUGCACACAUCGCCCGUCACUCUUACUAUUAAGGUAAGAUAAGUCGUAACAUAGUAGAUGUACUGGAAAGUGUACCUAGAAUGCAAUUUAAAGCUUAUUAAGUAAAGCAUUUCAUUUACAUUGAAAAGAUUUUUGUGCAAAUCAAUAUAAAUUGAUUAAAUUUUAUUUAUUAAUUCUUUUUUUUUAAAAAUUAAAUUAUUAAAAAUAAUUAUAAAAUGAUUUGUUUUAGUAUUUAAUAAAGAAAAAAUAAUUUUAAUUAUAGUGUAAUAGUAUUGUGAAAGAAAAUUGAAAUAAUU
rnacentral:rRNA from 1 species